rnacentral:rRNA from 1 species
AGAGUUUGAUCCUGGCUCAGGAUGAACGCUGGCGGCGUGCCUAAUACAUGCAAGUCGAACGCUUCACUUCGGUGAAGAGUGGCGAACGGGUGAGUAAUACAUAAGUAACCUGGCAUCUACAGGGGGAUAACUGAUGGAAACGUCAGCUAAGACCGCAUAGGCGUAGAGAUCGCAUGAACUCUAUAUGAAAAGUGCUACGGGACUGGUAGAUGAUGGACUUAUGGCGCAUUAGCUGGUUGGUAGGGUAACGGCCUACCAAGGCGACGAUGCGUAGCCGACCUGAGAGGGUGACCGGCCACACUGGGACUGAGACACGGCCCAGACUCCUACGGGAGGCAGCAGUAGGGAAUUUUCGGCAAUGGGGGAAACCCUGACCGAGCAACGCCGCGUGAAGGAAGAAGUAAUUCGUUAUGUAAACUUCUGUCAUAGAGGAAGAACGGUGGAUAUAGGGAAUGAUAUCCAAGUGACGGUACUCUAUAAGAAAGCCACGGCUAACUACGUGCCAGCAGCCGCGGUAAUACGUAGGUGGCGAGCGUUAUCCGGAAUUAUUGGGCGUAAAGAGGGAGCAGGCGGCACUAAGGGUCUGUGGUGAAAGAUCGAAGCUUAACUUCGGUAAGCCAUGGAAACCGUAGAGCUAGAGUGUGUGAGAGGAUCGUGGAAUUCCAUGUGUAGCGGUGAAAUGCGUAGAUAUAUGGAGGAACACCAGUGGCGAAGGCGACGAUCUGGCGCAUAACUGACGCUCAGUCCCGAAAGCGUGGGGAGCAAAUAGGAUUAGAUACCCUAGUAGUCCACGCCGUAAACGA